rnacentral:rRNA from 1 species
GGAAUCUACCUAGUAGUAUGGGAUAGCCACUAGAAAUGGUGGGUAAUACUGUAUAAUCCCUGCGGGGGAAAGAUUUAUCGCUAUUAGAUGAGCCUAUGUUAGAUUAGCUAGUUGGUAGGGUAAAGGCCUACCAAGGCAGUGAUCUAUAGCUGGUCUGAGAGGAUGAUCAGCCACACUGGAACUGAGAUACGGUCCAGACUCCUACGGGAGGCAGCAGUGGGGAAUAUUGGACAAUGGGCGCAAGCCUGAUCCAGCUAUGCCGCGUGAGUGAGGAAGGCCUUAGGGUUGUAAAACUCUUUCAGUGGGGAAGAUAAUGACGGUACCCACAGAAGAAGUCCCGGCAAACUCCGUGCCAGCAGCCGCGGUAAUACGGAGGGGGCAAGCGUUGUUCGGAAUUAUUGGGCGUAAAGGGCAUGUAGGCGGUUCGG